rnacentral:lncRNA from 1 species
UUGAUUCUUUUCAUAUUAUUUUCAGUCACUUCAGUUAUUGGAUUUCAAAGCACCAAUAUAUAAUCACCAUUAAUUAACUUUUUAAAAUGUUUGUAGUAGGAACGUAAACAAACACACGUAAAACACAAGACAUUUCUUGUUUUAUAUAUAACAUUUUGAAAACACACAAAAGAACGAUUGUGAAGAAAGCCACGAACUGAUCAGUAGAUGUAGCCAGCUACAAGAGCAAUGGUGGCUGCGGCCAAGCCGGUCAACAUAUCGAAGACAGCAAUGGUACCAGCGUUUGGGGAUUUAGUUGGUGCAUGGUCCUCAUGACCUUCAUGAUCGUCGUGACUCUCGUGUCCCUGAGCCGAGACCAUAGCAAUCAUCAACGCCAACACUAGAGAAGCUACACUGAUUUGAACAAAGAUCUUCUUCAUCAUUUUUUGGUUUGACUUCUUUUUCAAAAACGCAGCGCUUCGAUUUAGUUCGAUGAAUGUAAGAGAAGAUUAGGAUGUG